CUCCGGGUGAUCCCGCCGGACCCGACUGCUAUCAGAGUGAGAUUAAGCCAUGCGAGUUAACGUAGCAAUACGUGGCGCACGGCUCAGUAACACGUAGUCAACAUGCCCAGAGGACGUGGAUAACCUCGGGAAACUGAGUCUAAACCGCGAUAAGUGAGGAUUUCUGGAAUGGUUCCUGACUAAAAUCUAUAUGGCCUCUGGAUUGGACUGCGGCCGAUCAGGCUGUUGGUGAGGUAAUGGCCCACCAAACCUGUAACCGGUACGGGCUCUGAGAGGAGGAGCCCGGAGAUGGGCACUGAGACAAGGGCCCAGGCCCUAUGGGGCGCAGCAGGCGCGAAAUCUCUGCAAUAGGCGAAAGCCUGACAGGGUUACUCUGAGUGAUUUCCGUUAAGGAGAUCUUUUGGCACCUCUAAAAAUGGUGCAGAAUAAGGGGUGGGCAAGUCUGGUGUCAGCCGCCGCGGUAAUACCAGCACCCCGAGUGGUCGGGACGUUUAUUGGGCCUAAAGCAUCCGUAGCCGGUUCUACAAGUCUUCCGUUAAAUCCACCUGCUUAACAGAUGGGCUGCGGAAGAUACUAUAGAGCUAGGAGGCGGGAGAGGCAAGCGGUACUCGAUGGGUAGGGGUAAAAUCCGUUGAUCCAUUGAAGACCACCAGUGGCGAAGGCGGCUUGCCAGAACGCGCUCGACGGUGAGGGAUGAAAGCUGGGGGAGCAAACCGGAUUAGAUACCCGGGUAGUCCCAGCUGUAAACGAUGCAGACUCGGUGAUGAGUUGGCUUCUUGCCAACUCAGUGCCGCAGGGAAGCCGUUAAGUUUGCCGCCUGGGGAGUACGGUCGCAAGACUGAAACUUAAAGGAUUUGGCGGGGAGCA
rnacentral:rRNA from 1 species